AGUGAACGCUGGCGGUAGGCCUAACACAUGCAAGUCGAACGGCAGCACAGUAAGAGCUUGCUCUUACGGGUGGCGAGUGGCGGACGGGUGAGGAAUACAUCGGAAUCUACUUUUUCGUGGGGGAUAACGUAGGGAAACUUACGCUAAUACCGCAUACGACCUACGGGUGAAAGCAGGGGAUCUUCGGACCUUGCGCGAUUGAAUGAGCCGAUGUCGGAUUAGCUAGUUGGCGGGGUAAAGGCCCACCAAGGCGACGAUCCGGAGCUGGUCUGAGAGGAUGAUCAGCCACACUGGAACUGAGACACGGACCAGACUCCUACGGGAGGCAGCAGUGGGGAAUAUUGGACAAUGGGCGCAAGCCUGGUCCAGCCAUACCGCGUGGGUGAAGAAGGCCUUCGGGUUGUAAAGCCCUUUUGUUGGGAAAGAAAAGCAGCAGAUUAAUACCCCGCUGUUCUGACGGUACCCAAAGAAUAAGCACCGGCUAACUUCGUG
rnacentral:rRNA from 1 species